UUCUAAAUUACAAGGGUUUUUUUUCCCUUAAACUGGUAACUGUACACCUGAAAGACCCCCGAAGGGAGACCCUCACUCAAGCACUCAAGCCCCGGGACAGCCGCGGACCCAAGAAGACACUGAAACCA
rnacentral:pre_miRNA from 7 species